CUUGGUGUGAAUUGCAGAAUCCCGUGAACAAUCGAGUUUUUGAACGCAAGUUGCGCCCAAACCCAUUAGGCUAAGGGCACGUCUGCCUGGGCGUCACGC
rnacentral:rRNA from 2 species